rnacentral:rRNA from 1 species
UUACGGUCAUGUCAUGUUGAAACACUGAUUCCCAUACGAUUACCGAAGUUAAGCAAAGUCGAGCCUGGUCAUUACCUAGAUGGGUGACCGUUUGAAAAUACCAGGUGUUGUAAG